rnacentral:rRNA from 1 species
CCUACGGGGUGCAGCAGUGAGGAAUAUUGGUCAAUGGGCGGAAGCCUGAACCAGCCAAGUAGCGUGCAGGAUGACGGCCCUACGGGUUGUAAACUGCUUUUAUACGGGAAUAACGCGCCUUACGUGUAGGGCUUUGCAUGUACCGUAUGAAUAAGGACCGGCUAAUUCCGUGCCAGCAGCCGCGGUAAUACGGAAGGUCCGGGCGUUAUCCGGAUUUAUAGGGUUUAAAGGGAGCGUAGGCCGCAUGUCAAGCGUGCGGUGAAAUGUCCGGGCUCAACCCGGGCCUUGCAGGGCGUACUGGCGUGCUUGAGUCCGCGGAAAGCAGGCGGAAUUCGUCGUGUAGCGGUGAAAUGCUUAGAUAUGACGAAGAACCCCGAUUGCGAAGGCAGCUUGCUGCAGCGGAACUGACGCUGAUGCUCGAAAGCGCGGGUAUCGAACAGGAUUAGAUACCCCAGUAGUC